rnacentral:rRNA from 1 species
CAGCAGCCACGGUAAUACGUAGGUGGCAAGCGUUGUCCGGAAUUAUUGGGCGUAAAGCGCGCGCAGGCGGAUAGGUCAGUCUGUCUUAAAAGUUCGGGGCUUAACCCCGUGAUGGGAUGGAAACUGCCAAUCUAGAGUAUCGGAGAGGAAAGUGGAAUUCCUAGUGUAGCGGUGAAAUGCGUAGAUAUUAGGAAGAACACCAGUGGCGAAGGCGACUUUCUGGACGAAAACUGACGCUGAGGCGCGAAAGCCAGGGGAGCGAACGGGAUUAGAGACCCCCGUAGUCCCUGUCUCUUAUACA